rnacentral:lncRNA from 13 species
GUAAUGUUUACUACUUUCUGUCUUGUAUUACGUUUGUUUAUACACACAUCUUUUUUUUCCACCAGAUUUAAGAAGUUUGAAAGAGGGUUCCAUGUUCUAUUCAUCAUCUAAUUUCCCACAGUGCUCACAAAACAACUUCAUGGGGAAGACACAACAUUUUGACAAAGAGAGAAGAGAUUUGGCCUCCUCAUCUUUUCCCAGGUGCCCAGGAGGGAUCAGCUACCCUGUUGGGAGAAGCCCACCUUCCCCUCUCUCAGGGUGUGAACAAAACCUGUUCUGUGUGUAACAAGGCAUCCUUCUUUAGGAUUCCACAGACAUCAUACUGAAAGA